AAGCAGGGGAUAACACUUGGAAACAGGUGCUAAUACCGUAUAACAACAAAAUCCGCAUGGAUUUUGUUUGAAAGGUGGCUUCGGCUAUCACUUCUGGAUGAUCCCGCGGCGUAUUAGUUAGUUGGUGAGGUAAAGGCCCACCAAGACGAUGAUACGUAGCCGACCUGAGAGGGUAAUCGGCCACAUUGGGACUGAGACACGGCCCAAACUCCUACGGGAGGCAGCAGUAGGGAAUCUUCCACAAUGGACGAAAGUCUGAUGGAGCAAUGCCGCGUGAGUGAAGAAGGGUUUCGGCUCGUAAAACUCUGUUGUUAAAGAAGAACACCUUUGAGAGUAACUGUUCAAGGGUUGACGGUAUUUAACCAGAAAGCCACGGCUAACUACGUGCCAGCAGCCGCGGUAAUACGUAGGUGGCAAGCGUUGUCCGGAUU
rnacentral:rRNA from 1 species